ACGCUCGACACCUACGGGAGGCAGCAGUGGGGAAUAUUGCACAAUGGGGGAAACCCUGAUGCAGCGACGCCGCGUGAAGGAAGAAGUAUUUCGGUAUGUAAACUUCUAUCAGCAGGGAAGAAGAAAGUGACGGUACCUGACUAAGAAGCCCCGGCUAACUACGUGCCAACAGCCGCGGUAAUCUGAGCGGGCUGGCAAGGC
rnacentral:rRNA from 1 species